rnacentral:rRNA from 1 species
AACGAACGCUGGCGGCAGGCUUAACACAUGCAAGUCGAACGCAUCCUUCGGGUGAGUGGCAGACGGGUGAGUAACGCGUGGGAACGUGCCCUUCAGUUCGGGAUAACCCAGGGAAACUUGGGCUAAUACCGGAUACGUGCGAGAGCAGAAAGAUUUAUCGCUGAAGGAUCGGCCCGCGUCUGAUUAGCUAGUUGGUGGGGUAAUGGCCCACCAAGGCGACGAUCAGUAGCUGGUCUGAGAGGAUGAUCAGCCACAUUGGGACUGAGACACGGCCCAACCUCCUACGGGAGGCAGCAGUGGGGAAUAUUGGACAAUGGGCGCAAGCCUGAUCCAGCCAUGCCGCGUGAGUGAUGAAGGCCUUAGGGUUGUAAGGCUCUUUCGUCCGGGACGAUAAUGACGGUACCGGAAGAAGAAGCCCCGGCUAACUUCGUGCCAGCCGCCGCAGUAA